AUUGAACGCUGGCGGAAUGCUUUACACAUGCAAGUCGAACGGCAGCACGGACUUCGGUCUGGUGGCGAGUGGCGAACGGGUGAGUAAUAUAUCGGAACGUGCCCAGUCGUGGGGGAUAACGUAGUGAAAAUUACGCUAAUACCGCAUACGAUCUACGGAUGAAAGCGGGGGAUCGCAAGACCUCGCGCGAUUGGAGCGGCCGAUAUCAGAUUAGGUAGUUGGUGAGGUAAAGGCUCACCAAGCCGACGAUCUGUAGCUGGUCUGAGAGGACGACCAGCCACACUGGAACUGAGACACGGUCCAGACUCCUACGGGAGGCAGCAGUGGGGAAUUUUGGACAAUGGGCGCAAGCCUGAUCCAGCAAUGCCGCGUGCAGGAAGAAGGCCUUCGGGUU
rnacentral:rRNA from 1 species